ensembl:lincRNA
AAAUAAUUUACUUCAGCCAAUACAGAAUGUGCUCUUCCUGAAGUGAAAGGACUUUUCUUCCAGAACUGAAGAGUCGCAUCGGAUUCAUCAGCUCCAGAGGGAAGAGGUGGCUGUGAUCCUGCUGGAGUCGGAGCAGCUCCAAAGGACACUCACAGAGAGAAGAAGGCUGAGACUGCGUGUAUUGUCUCUGGAUUAUAUACAGCAUUUAGUUUUUAGAGCAAUAAAAAUAUUAGCUAUAAUUUCCUGAGAACCUAAAAUGUACCAAUCCCUCUUCUAGGCACUUUCUGUACUUUAUUUUUGUCUCAUUACAAAAACUUUUUGGAGUUGACAUUGUCAUCAUUCCCAUUUAAAUGCAAGGAAAUUGAGUUUCAGAGAAGUUAAGGUGUCUUGUAAAGAUUAAAUCAACCAAUAAAUGUGUGGUGCUUAGACUGGUACUUACCAUGUAGGAGUUGCUCAGUGGACUUUUGUUAGGAAGCUCUUUUUCUCCUGCAAAGCAGGAACUUAGGGAAGGUGAUCCAUGCUCAUGGCCUGUGGCAAGAUCAAUCUGAGACCCACUGGUCUAGAGAGAGCCUGUUCCUCUGCAUAUUCCCAAGUGCCACAUGCACAACACUGGACACUCAGGGAACUCUUUAAAUGUUGGGAAUGAGUGGAAAGCCCUUUCACAUUGCUUCUUUCAAGGUUCUAACUGGCGGUCUUCUUCCUUCCUUCUCUUCCCAAGGCAAAUGAAGACUGGACUUACUCCUUGAGUGCAAAACACACAACAAAGGCUGAAGGCACUUCAAGCACUCGUGGUGCAAAGAUCGGGCAGAAAAAUUCAGAUGCAUCCUCACAAAAAUUAUGGCAGCAGCAAGUAAGAAGAUAAUGAUCCUGAGAAUCAGCACCCAAGACCAGCGGUCAGUCCAGCAGGAAAGAGAUAAAGGUGGCAUGGGACAAGCACCACCCUCACCUCUGGGGACCAUCCCCCAGACACCAAGCAGGAAGACGAAGCUCAGGUCACGUUCAUCAUGGCUGAACUCCAGGUCACCUGUGGUGCAGAGAAAGUGGCUGGCUCAGAUGUCCAGGCCUAUGAGUAGGAACAAUGACGGGACUUUCUCUGAAGCUUGCAUUGCACUUAUCCGCAGCGGGGAAGGGGUUGCGGAAUGACCUCUCUCCUUGUGAACUCCAGCAGAGCAGUUUUUCUGUGUGUUUGUUUUCUAUUUUUCUUGGUAUUGUUUUGUUUUCUAAUUUUACAAAUUGAAAAUGAUAUAUGACCAAGUUUACUCUUCUCUCCUUGGAGACUGAAUAAUUUUUCAAAUCUUGACUGACCAUCUUCUCUUUCUCAUGGACGAAUCGUCCCUUCCUGGGUUUAGAAGUGCAGUGCUGUGUUGAGCAUAUGGACAUGACUGUGAGUCCCUGGCCGUCUUCCGUUUCUCGUGGAGGAAUUGUCCCUUUCUGUGUUUAGAAGUGCAGUUCUGUGUUGAGCAGACAGACAUGACUGUGAGUCCCUGGCCGUCUUCUGUUUCUCGUGGAGGAAUUGUCUCUCCCUGUCUUUAGUACUGCAGUGCUGUGUUGAGCAGACAGACAUGGCUGUGAGUCUCUGGGCUUGUGCCCUGGCCCAGUCAUUGCCUAGGCAACUCCCUCCCCACGGGCACCUGGCCUCUCUCCACUUUACUUUCUGAACCUGUAAAAGGGGUAGGAGGAUGGAGGAUGGUAGGUCCUACCUCACAGAGCUCACGAGAGGAUUGGUACAGAUGAAAGCACUCGGAACACUGGCUGCAAUAUGAUAGGUCCUCAUCCAAUGUUAAUUACCAUUAUAAUUAUAAGCGUCUUUUAAAAGUAUUUGUCAUAAUACCUUUUUAUGUGGAUGGAAAGAGUGAUAUAAAUUUUCACUGUCAUGAUGUGAACAGAACCUGGAGCACGCUUGGGUGGAGCCUGGAACUUUGGGUUAUUGAAGAGCCUGCUAGCACUAGUUCUAACAGCUGAGAUAUAGAAUCAGUCCAGGUGUCCAAUAAUACAUGAAUGGAUGAAGUAUCCAUGGAGAUACAUGAAUUGAAAAUGUAUAUACACAUACACUUUAAAAUUUGUGUAUACACAAUGGAAUACUAUUCAGCCAUAAAAAGAAUGAAAUCCUGUCAUUCAUGGCAAAAUGGUUGGAACUGGAGGACACCGUGUUCAGUAAAACGAGCCAGGAACACGAAGUUAAACGCCUCAUGUUCUCACUUAUUCGUGGAAGCUUAAAAAUGCUGAUCUCAUAGAAGUAAAAGGUAGAACAGAAGAUCCUAGAGGCUGGGAAGGAUUGGAGAAAGGGAGAGAUAGGGAGAGAUUUGUUAAAGAAUACAAAAUUACAGCUAGACGGGAGUAAUAAUUUCUAGUGUUCUAUACCACUGUAGGAUGACUACAGUUAACAAUAAUAUACAGUUUUAAAUAGCUAUAGGGAGGAUAUUGACAAGGAAAUAAUAAGUAUUUGAGAUGAUGGAGAUGCAAAUCACCCUGAUCUGAUCACUGUAAAACUUAUGUAUUAAAAUAUCCCUGUUUACCCCCAUGAAGGUGUACAAUUAUUAUGUGUCCAUGAAACAUAAAUAAAGUAAAUUUUUAAGACUCCA